GAGAAUCUGAUGCUUAAUGCCGCGUGAGUGAAGAAGGCCUUUGGGUUGUAAAGCUCUUUUGUAGGGGAAGAUAAUGACUGUACCCUAAGAAUAAGGUCCGGCUAACUUCGUGCCAGCAGCCGCGGUAAUACGAAGGGACCUAGCGUAGUUCGGAAUUACUGGGCGUAAAGCGCGCGUAGGCCGUUGAGUUAGUUAAUUGUGAAAUCCCAAAGCUUAACUUUGGAACUGCAAUUAAAACUGCUCGACUAGAGUUUGAUAGAGGAAAGCGGAAUACAUAGUGUAGAGGUGAAAUUCGUAGAUAUUAUGUAGAACACCAGUUGCGAAGGCGGCUUUCUGGGUCAACACUGACGCUGAGGCGCGAAAGUAUGGGUAGCAAAGAGGAUUAGAUACCCUCGUAGUCCAUACCAUAAACGAUGAUUGCUAGAUGUCGGAAAUUUCAUCCUCAGUAUCGCAACUAACGCAUUAAGCAAUCCGCCUGGGGAGUACGACCGCAGGUUUAAAUCAAAUGAAUUGACGGGGACCCGUACAAGCGGUGCGAGCAUGUGGUUUACUUCGAAGAUACCGCGCGAAGCUUGACAAGCCUUGACAUGUCUGUCGCGAGUUU
rnacentral:rRNA from 1 species